rnacentral:rRNA from 1 species
AUUGAACGCUGGCGGCAGGCUUAACACAUGCAAGUCGAGCGGGGGAAGGUAGCUUGCUACCGGACCUAGCGGCGGACGGGUGAGUAAUGCUUAGGAAUCUGCCUAUUAGUGGGGGACAACAUCUCGAAAGGGAUGCUAAUACCGCAUACGUCCUACGGGAGAAAGCAGGGGAUCUUCGGACCUUGCGCUAAUAGAUGAGCCUAAGUCAGAUUAGCUAGUUGGUGGGGUAAAGGCCUACCAAGGCGACGAUCUGUAGCGGGUCUGAGAGGAUGAUCCGCCACACUGGGAAUGAGACGCGGCCCAGACUCCUACGGGAGGCAGCAGUGGGGAAUAUUGGACAAUGGGGGGAACCCUGAUCCAGCCAUGCCGCGUGUGUGAAGAAGGCCUUAUGGUUGUAAAGCACUUUAAGCGAGGAGGAGGCUACUUUAGUUAAUACCUAGAGAUAGUGGACGUUACUCGCAGAAUAAGCACCGGCUAACUCUGUGCCAGCCGCCGCCGUAA